AUGGCGUCCGAGGAGGAGCAGAGCUCGCUGGAGGAGCCGUCCCCGCCGCGGACGCCGACGUCCUGGCCGUCACAGCCGCUGCUCCUGGACCCGGCCUACGCGCGGAGCAAGUCGGUCAUCCACGACGAGCUGCGCAGCUUCCGCGUGUUCCUGCAGUGGUGCGCGCUCGACCACUCCUCCCCCGCCGCGCGGGCCGCCUCGUACGCGGCCUUCCUCGCGCUGGCGCUCGCCGUGCCCGCCGCCGUCACGGCCUCCCUCCGCGCCGACGCAUCGCUGUCCCCUGCCUCCGCGUCCGCGGUCACGUUCAAUCGCGUGGCCACGCUCACGGCGUCGGGGCUCGCCGCCGUCUCGUUCGUCACGAUGGCCGUCUUCUUCCGCCGCUGCGGCGGCCUCCGGCAGCUGCUGUUCCUCGACGGGGGCCUCCGCGACGACACCGCGUUCGUCCGCCGCCGCUACGAGCGGGAGCUGGACCGCGCGUUCCGCCUCCUGGCGGCGCUGCUCGUCCCGGCCCUCUGCGUGGAGGCCGCGCACAAGGCCGUCUUCUUCUUCUCCACCGUGCGCGUGGAUCCGCCGCUCCCUCUCCCGCACGUGCCGUGGCGCGCGGUGGCGCUGGUGGCCACGGUGGCGUCGUGGGUGUACCGCACAGGCCUGCUGGUGUGCGUGCUGUUCCGCCUCACCUGCGAGCUCCAGAUCCUGCGCUUUGAGGGGAUCUACCACAUGUUCGACGCGGAGGCGUGCGCCGCCGCCGACGAGAUCUUCGUGGAGCACCGCCGCAUCCGGACGCAGCUGCUGGCUACCAGCCACCGGUACAGGGUGUUCAUCAUCUGCUGCCUCGUCACCAUCACCGUCAGCCAGCUCGGCGCCCUGCUCGUCGCCCUCUCCUCCCAGGACGGCAAGAGCUUCGCCAACUCCAGCAACCUCCUGGUAUGUAGUACGCACUACGCACCACGCAAGUCCAUCAGCAAGUACGUGCCUGGAAAGUAA
rnacentral:rRNA from 1 species